GGGGGACCUGAGGGUGGUACCUGACGAGGGUAGCUCAAGGGGGAGACCUGAGACGGGGGACCUGGGGUUAGGACUUGGGAGGAUCUGAGAGGAGUGACCUGAGGUGGGACCUAAGGAGGGACUUGAGGAGGGGACCUGAAAGAUUCGGGCGGACGGUCUCGCUCACCAGUGCCGCCGUGGGGGGAGGGGGGAUGCCCGGCCGCCUCAAAGGUCACCUGCCAUAACUUAACAGGAGCCUGAGAAGCCAGGCCAAGGGAACACCUGAGCUUGACAGGUGACAACGCCACCUCCGUUCCGGCCACGCCUCCACAGAGGACGCCGCCACCGCCCAGCUCCAAGAUGGCUGCGUCACGCAGAACAGCGCCCUGCAGAAGCCCCGCCCCUCGCCCGGGGGCAGGUCCCCUGCGCGCCCCGCCCCCUCCACGCUUAGACCCGGAAGUGAUCUCCCGAGGCUGCAGUGGGCUUUGAGCGCCGCGGGCUGUGGAAGAGCGUUGACGGCGGGGAUCACGGAGCAGCGGAGAUGCCCGGAGCCUGCUGCCGGGCCUUCCCUCGCGGUGCCGCUCGGUACUGUCUUCACGAUAAACACCGCACGUUAACACUAGGCAGCAGGUGUGGCCGGUGCUCACAGCCAGGAACCAGCACGCAGAGGGAAUGCAGGACCCCACGCCCUGCACAGCUCCUGCCGUCCUGGUGAGGAGACGACACCCAGGCGUUUUCAAGUGCCAUCACGAAGGCCCGUGCGCAGCGGUCGCGGUGG
ensembl:lncRNA